UACGAAGGGGGCUAGCGUUGCUCGGAAUUACUGGGCGUAAAGGGCGCGUAGGCGGCUUGGUUAGUCAGGCGUGAAAUUCCCGGGCUUAACCUGGGGACUGCGCUUGAUACUGCUGGGCUUGAGGGUGGAAGAGGGUCGUGGAAUUCCCAGUGUAGAGGUGAAAUUCGUAGAUAUUGGGAAGAACACCGGUGGCGAAGGCGGCGACCUGGUCCAUUACUGACGCUGAGGCGCGACAGCGUGGGGAGCGAACAGG
rnacentral:rRNA from 1 species